rnacentral:lncRNA from 1 species
AAGAAGCUUACCAAAAAAGACAUCUUUCCCUGUUUUACAAAUGAAGCCACAACCACGAUACAACCACACCGCAAACGGAGGUCCACAAGUAACAUAAAGGUUCGAAAGUACAACGAAAUAAAGUACUUGCUGGAGGCAACAGCAAAACAAGCCGACAAAACCCUUCAAUUCAUACAUACUACAGCUCAUAGUGGACCUAAUUCAUACAUACUGCAGCUCAUGAGGAUACAAACAUCCAGGACAUUAAAAUUCAUCAGCGGACUCAUCAAACUUCAGGUGAAAGGCCAACCGUUCACAACAUAACCAUGUAGCGAUGAAAAGAAGUCAUGCGGAACAAGACUUUGCUUGAGCUGCAGUUGAGUAGGUUGGACACCUAUGUGAUUGAAAGUGGCGACCAACUUGCCAUCCAUCUCAACCUGAACUAGCCAGUCAGGAAAUUUGACCAGGACAAGCAACUCACCAUCCCCAGGCACGACCACCGUUUCCCAAGUCAUCGUCGUCGCGUUUUCCACACGACGCCCUAAUCUCUGCAAGCGGCGGUUCAAUGUGGCACUUGAAGGUCCAGACCUCGCUUGCAUAGUCCUGCAACACCCAGAUAUCAAUGCUUGUCGCUUUGUCGUUAAAGCUAGACGUGCCGAGCAUGCCAUCCAUCUCAAACAGCCCAUCACAGGUGGUACCACGAACAACCGGGACGCGCAUCUGUCAGAAUGUCUCAGCUGUGUUGUCAAAUACGAUUAUCAUGUUGCUUUCGCCCUCGUGCUGCUGCACUGUAACAUCCCGGAUGUAACUUUCCCAAUUUGUACUCCAACUCUUGUCAUUUCCGGCGUUAAGUUAUAUUUAUUUCCUCGGGUUCGGGUUUUGUCUCCGUGUGUUGUUGUCGUUGUCAUGCAUCUCAUAUCAUGUCAUCAUGUGCAUUGCAUCUGCAUACGUGUUCGUCUCUUGCAUUCGAAGUCCGUUUUGCAUUCCGGCGCUUCGUUCUCCUCCGGUGGUCAUUUCUAGCUUUCUUUCGUGUGUUGGGAUUAAACAUUUACGGAUUGGACCGAGACUUGCCAAGCGGCCUUGGUUUACUACCGGUAGACUGUCUGUCAAGUUUCGUACCAUUUGGACUUUGUUUGAUACUCCAACGGUUAACCGAGGGACCGAUAAGGCCUCGUGUGUGUUGCAGCCCAACACCCCUCCAAUUUGGCCCAAAACCCACCUAACUCUGCUCCAUCAUCUAGAGCGUUCGAUCACGAUCGCGUGGCCGAAAACCGCACCUCAUUUGGACUCUCCUAGCUCCCUCUAUGCCUAUUUAAACACCCCAGAUUUUCGGAUCUCCUCCUACCUCCGAAACCCUAGAAAUCGUCCCCGCGCCGCGCCGGACGAAAACCUGCCGACGGACAUUGUCCGGCCCGCCUCUCCGCCGCCACGUGGCACCCCGGGAUUCGUCCCCCGGGCGCGCCCACAUCGCCCGCCGCCGCCNNNNNNNNNNNNNNNNNNNNNNNNNNNNNNNNNNNNNNNNNNNNNNNNNNNNNNNNNNNNNNNNNNNNNNNNNNNNNNNNNNNNNNNNNNNNNNNNNNNNNNNNNNNNNNNNNNNNNNNNNNNNNNNNNNNNNNNNNNNNNNNNNNNNNNNNNNNNNNNNNNNNNNNNNNNNNNNNNNNNNNNNNNNNNNNNNNNNNNNNNNNNNNNNNNNNNNNNNNNNNNNNNNNNNNNNNNNNNNNNNNNNNNNNNNNNNNNNNNNNNNNNNNNNNNNNNNNNNNNNNNNNNNNNNNNNNNNNNNNNNNNNNNNNNNNNNNNNNNNNNNNNNNNNNNNNNNNNNNNNNNNNNNNNNNNNNNNNNNNNNNNNNNNNNNNNNNNNNNNNNNNNNNNNNNNNNNNNNNNNNNNNNNNNNNNNNNNNNNNNNNNNNNNNNNNNNNNNNNNNNNNNNNNNNNNNNNNNNNNNNNNNNNNNNNNNNNNNNNNNNNNNNNNNNNNNNNNNCCUACGCCGCCGCCCCCGGCCACCGGCGUCCGUGCCCGCCGGCCGCAGCCGUCCGGCCUCCCCCUCGUCACCGGCAACCUCCUCGUCUCCGGCAGCUAUAGUUCCUCGCCGGAGUUCCUCGAUUUCCGUGCGCGAGAUCUAGAUCCAAAAAACCCUAGAGGAUGAUUUCUUUGUCCAAGUCCUGAAAUUCUCAGUCCAAGUGCUCAUGUUCGCGGCUCCAUAACUUUGCAUCCCUAGCACCGAUUCAUGCAUGUAGCAUAUCAAAAUGUUCAUCUCAGAGAGUACAUCAUUUCAUUCCAUUGCAUCAUUUUCAUUUGAGUUCAUCUUGAUGCCCGAAAUGCUGUUAGAAGAGGCCUACUUGAGUUAAUUGUCAGAUAUGUUACUCCGUUUAGCACUUUUGUCAUUUUUGCCAUGAUUAUUGUGUGCUUGAUAUGCCCGUGAGUUCUACAUAUGUUUUGUUAAGGGCUUUGUCAUCUCUCCAGGGGUGCAACCCAUGUAUUUUUAGGAUGUGUGUAGUGAUUAGUGCAAGCUUGCAAAGUGGUGCACUUGCUAAUUCCGUUUUCAGGGACUUAGUAAUUUACCAAGUCCUGGAGCUGUUUAUCUCAUGAUGCCAUAUGUUCAUGUUGUUUCCUAUUGAUCCGUGCCUCUUUUGAGGAUGAGCAGUAAGGAUGUUUUGUUAAUAUUGUAGUGCUCUAUCCAUCCAUGUCUUUGUUUGCAAUUAUGGAGCACCCUAGCUUGAGUCAAUCAAGCUCUACUUUGGCUACUUUGUGAAUCUGGGCAGAUUGUCAACUUGUUUGCAAUUUUGCCGGUGAUGUUGUAGUUGAUCCGUGCAUGCUAUGCUAUUGUUCUUGCCAUGUCUAGCUUUAAUUUUGUGCCUUCUUGAUAGAUGUAUGCUUGCCUUGCCAUGACUUGCAACGUAGUGAGUGCAUCGAGCUCGUAAACAUGCCUACUUGAGCUAUAUUUCAGCUUGCUCCAGUUUUCACUUAAGUAUGAAAACUGAUUAUGUUUUUGCCAUGUUCACAUGCUUGCAAUUGUAUUUUCUGGUCCUGUUUGGCUCAAGGUCACUAAGGGACUUUUGUUAAGCUCUUUGGGUAGCUCCAUGCCAUGCUUUACUUUUCCAUGUUCAGAUCCUGUAGCAUGUAGUUUUGUUGCUCCGAAGAGGGCUACCUUGAUCUGAAAUUCCAGACAAGUGUUAAUUUCACUAAGUCUGAGAUCUGUUUGCCAUAUGCAUUUUUGCCAUGCUUGUUUGAACCUGUUAAUGGAUGAAUUGGCCGUAGCUCAGUGCUAGACUUUUGUUAAGCAUCUUGUGUUCAUCCCUGUCAUGUAUUUUGUUGUCAUGUUUGGGUGCUGUAGCAUGUUCAUCUCAUUGCAUUUAGAUGCCUACAUGCUGUAAAUCGCAGACCGGUGUCAUAUUUGAAUCGAUUGCCAUUUCCAAACCAUAACUCUGAUUCCAGCGUUCUUUAUAUUGUUUUCAAGCGAUUUCAUCUCAUCUUUCCAGUGGAACACUUGGUUUUCCAAGUUGAGGCCAGGUUCAUGCAUUUCCUGUCAUAUCUUGCAUUUUGCAUCCCGUAUCGCAUUCCGCAUAGCAUAUCAUCAUUUCAUCAUAUUGCUUGGUCUUGCACGUGGUUGAUUGUAUCCAUGUUGCUUGUUUGUUUUGUUUGGGUAGAGCUGGGAGACGAGUUCUCUAACGAGGAGCCCGUUGAGUUUGCUUUCGAGGAUCCAGUCAACUCUGACAACUCUGCAGGCAAGAUGAUCAUACCCUCGAAAUCACUACUAUCUUUGCUAUGCUAGUUUGCUCGCUCUUUUGCUAUGCCAUUGCUACGAUGCCUACCACUUGCUUGCAAGCCUCCCAAAUUGCCAUGUCAAACCUCUAACCCACCUUGUCCUAGCAAACCGUUGAUUGGCUAUGUUACCGCUUUGCUCAGCCCCUCUUAUAGCGUUGCUACUUGUAGGUGAAGAUUGGAGGCUGUUCCUUGUUGGAACAUCUUUUACUUACUUGUUGGGAUAUCAUUAUAUUGCUAUGUUAUCUUAAUGCAUCUAUAUACUUGGUAAAGGGUGGAAGGCUCGGCAUCUCGCCUAGUGUUUUGUUCCACUCUUGCCGCCCUAGUUUCCGUCAUAUCGGUGUUAUGUUCCCGGAUUUUGUGUUCCUUACGCGGUUGGGUUAUAUGGGAACCCCUUGAUAGUUCGCCUUGAUUAAAGCUUUUCCAGCAAUGCCCAACAUUGGUCUUAACAUUCGCCACCUAGCCUUUUCUUUCCCUUGGGUUCUGCAGACUCAAGGGUCAUCUUAUUUUACCCCCCCCCCCCCGGGCCAGUGCUCCUCUGAGUGUUGGUCCAACCGAGCGAUGUCCGGGGCUACUAGGGGCAACUCUGGGCUGGCCUACCCGACGUCUGGCUCAUCUGAGUGUGCCCUGAGAAUGAGAUAUGUGCAGCUCCUAUCGGGAUUUUUCGGCACAUUCGGGCGGUGUUGCUGGUCUUGUUUUAACUUGUCGAAGUGUCUUGAAUUACCGAGAUACCGAGUCUGAUCGGAAUGUCUUGGGAGGAGGUCUAUUCCUUCGUUGACCAUGAGAGCUUGUCAUGGGCCAAAUUGGGACUCCCCUGCAGGGAUUUGAACUUUCAAAAGCCGUGCCCGCGGUUAUGGGCAGAUGGGAAUUUGUUAAUGUCUGGUUGUAGAUAACUUGAACCUUAAUUUAAUUAAAAUGAAUCAACUGAGUGUGUUACCAUGAUGGCCUCUUCUCGGCGGAGUCCGGGAAGUGGACACGGUAUUGGAGUAAUGUUUGCGCAGGCUGCUCUCUAGUUUCUUGCUCGCGCUUUGCCUCCUCUUCUCUCUCUCUUUUGCGAAUAAGUUAGCCACCAUACUUGCUAGUCGCUUGCUGCAGCUCCACUCAUAUUCACCUUGCCAUACCUAUAAGCUUAAAUAGUCUUGAACGCGAGGGUGCGAGAUUGCUGAGUCCCUGUGGCUCACAGAUUACUGUUACACCAGAUGCAGGGCCUGAUGAUUCCACUCCAGGAGAUGCGUAUGAGCUCAAGUGGGAGUUCGACGAAGACUCUCAACGUUACUACGUUUCCUUUCCCGAUGAUCAGUAGUGGUGCCCAGUUGGGGGUGAUUGGGACCGUGUCGCAUGUUGGGUUCUCUUCUAUUUUGGCGCCGUAGUCGGGCCAUGAGUGUUUGCAUGAUGUAAUGUUAUUUAUGUACUUGAUUGACGUGGUGAGUGUAAGCCAACUAUGUUAUCUCCCUUUUCAUUAUUAUAUUACAUGGGAUGUUGUGAAGAUUGCCUAACUUGCGACAUAUGCCUUCAAUGCGAUUAUGUCUCUAAGUCAUGCCUCGACACGUGGGAGCUAUAGUCGCAUCGAGGGUGUUACAAGUUGGUAAUCAGAGCCUUCCCCGACCUUAGGAGCCCCAUUGCUUGAUCGUUUUAGCGGCCGAGUUGUGUCUAGAAAAAUGUUUUGAGUCUUUUAGGAAUUAUAUAUCGAAGAAUUUAGGAAUUCUUUUUACUUCCCAGUCUCCUCAUCGCUCUGGUAAGGCAUCCUGACGUAGAGUUUUGACUCUUCUCUUCUCAAAUUUCACUAAAAAAAUUUAGGAUCACGCGGGUAUCUUGGAAUCGUUCCAAUGGUUUUAUGAUGAGAACAUUGUCUUGGUGCCUCCUGUCAGGGGUUUAGUGGAAUUGUCCCGGGGAGUUGAGCUCUAAGGUGUUGUCAUCAUAAUUUUAUCGUUGCAGUUCUGGAAUACCUGAGUCUAGUACGCCGACAUCGAAAAUCUCUUUUAUGCAGUUCGUUGGUGAGAUAACCUCGACGCCACCCAGUACUGGGGCGGGAGUUCGGGAGUAUCGCCAUAACUUGUAUAAUGGAUGCUUUUCGAAGGUUGAGGUAGAUGGUUUCCGAAGGUUUCUUGGUUAUGUGUUGAAGGAUGGAUACAGCUGGAUGUAGGAUUUGCUAGUUUGGGUGAGAUAUUAUGCUUCCCCUGUAUCCCCAACACCUGAUUGCAUAACCGGAAAGGUUCGGGAGUUUCAUAGGUGGGAAUUCUAGUAGCUCUAGUUCUUCUUCCACGGAUAUUGGUUUGAGAUUGGGUUUUCUUACCGAUUAUUCGUUCUUGAUCCGUACCUUGUUGAUGUAUUUCUCUACCUUAAUUCUACGUGGCUUCUCAAUUUAUGGAUAUGUGACCAUUUCAAGAGAAAUGCAUUCGUUCAUUUUGUUCGGAUGUGAAGACUAUAUGUUGCAAUUUUCAUUCCGUUGGAUUCAGCUUCAAUAUUUAUCUAUCAAUGUGCUAAUGGUGGUCAACCUCUUCAGGAUGGCUCCUCCAACGCGCAUGACUCCGAAUCCUGAUCCGCCACCACCUCCCCCUCCUCCGGAGGCAUGGCAAGCUGUGUUGGCCGCAACAAAUGCAAACACACAGUUGAUCAUGCAAAUUCUUCAAGAGCACAAUCAAGGCAACCAAGGGAAUCAAGGCAGCAAUCAGAGUCACUUUGCUACACUUAACCAGCUCCUUGCUAACAUGCCAAAGACUUUCAACAAUUGUGUUGAGGCAACCGAUGCUGACGAUUGGCUUGUGGAUCUGUGUAAGCAUUUCGAGUGCAGUAAUGUCAGGCCUGAGGACUUUGUCAAGUUCGCUUCCUUCCAACUCAAAGAUCAAGCUGCAGAAUGGUUCCAGCAGUACAAGGAUUCCAGAGGUGGACGUGUUAUCACUUGGGAUGAUUUCCGUCGAGAUUUCAGGGCUCAUCAUAUUCCCCAGAGCGUGGUUGAAAGCAAGCGUGAGGAAUUCCGCAAUUUGAAGCAAGGCUCUUUAUCUGUCUAUGACUACAACAAGUUGUUACAGAAGCUCGCCCGCUUUGCCAAGAAGGACGUCCCUGAUGAGAAGAGCAUGAUAUACCAGUUCAGGGGUGGUCUCAGAGAAGAAAUUCAGCUAGCUCUUGUUCUCUUUGAGCCCUUGAGAUACGAUGAGUUCUACAACAUGGCACUGAAGCAAGAGGCUGCUCAGUUGAGGUGUGAUGCUUCCAAGAAGCGAGUCAGAGAUGUUACUCCUUCUUCCUCUACUCAAGUGGCAAAGCAGCAGAAGUUUUGGCUUCCUCCUCCUCCAUUCCGUCAGCCGUAUCAGCAGAAGAGCAAAGGUGGCAGUGGUUCUUCCCACCCACCCAACCCUGGCUUUCAGAACAAGACUUCAUCUCAAGCUCCAAGAUCGAGUGCUCCGUAUCACCGUCCGCUUUCAGAGGUCACGUGCAACAAGUGCCAACAGAAGGGUCACUAUGCCAACAAGUGUUUCAACCAGAGGCGUCUUCCUCCUCCUCCUCCUGUGAGAUCAGCAAGUACAGUUGUGGUCAAGCAUAACCCCAAGUCUGCCAAGGUCAACUUGACGAAUGUAGCUCAGGCAGAGGACUCAUCAGAUGUCAUCAUGGGUAACCUUCCUGUUAAUGAUAUUCCUGCAAAAGUUCUUUUUGACACGGGUGCAUCGCAUUGUUUCAUCUCGAGGCCAUUUGUUUCUAAGCAUGAGUUGCCUUUACAAGAUUUGCCUAGACAGUUAUCUGUUGUUUCUCCGGGUAAAUUCAUGAAUGCAAGUGCUAUUGCCCCAGAUGUUUCUAUCACAUUGGGCGAUUACAAGUUUCUCUCUUCUCCGGUGGUUCUUGGUAACUCGGAUAUUGAUCUUAUUCUCGGAAUGGAUUGGCUUUCUAAGAACAAGGCGCAUCUUGAUUGUGCAGCCAGGCAGAUUCAAUUGUCUCAUUCAUCUGAGGAUGUAAUUGUCUUUGCCGCUCGGGAUAAUACAAUCCGUCUGUUUUCUCUCAAUGAGAAGGGUGAAUUGGAUGCCAUCUCUCAAAUUCCAGUCGUUUGCGAAUAUCAAGACGUCUUUCCAGAAGAGCUUCCAGGAAUGCCUCCGCACCGGCCAGUUGAAUUCGUUAUUGAUCUUGAGCCUGGUACGGAACCUGUGUGCAAACGUCCUUACAAGCUCGGACCUGAAGAGUUGAAGGAGCUGAAGAAGCAACUCGAUAUUCAAGAGAAAAUGGGUCUCAUCCGGCCUAGUUCUUCUCCAUGGGGUUGUGGUGUUCUUUUUGUGAAGAAGAAGGAUGGAACGGACCGACUUUGUGUUGAUUACCGUCCAGUGAACAAGAAGACCAUCAAGAACAAAUACCCACUUCCCAACAUCAAUGAGCUGUUCGAACAACUCAAAGGUGCCCAAGUAUUCUCCAAGCUUGAUCUCCGCAUGGGUUAUCAUCAGAUUCGAAUCCGUGAGCAAGAUAUUCCCAAGACGGCCUUCAGGACAAGCUUUGGUUCAUAUGAAUACACUGUCAUGUCUUUUGGCCUCGUCAAUGCUCCUCCGACGUUCUCUCGCAUGAUGAAUUUCAUCUUCAAUGCCUACACCAAUGACUUCGUUUUGGUCUAUCUCGACGACAUUCUGGUUUUCUCCAAGAACAAGGAAGAUCAUGCCAAAAACUUGUGUUUGGUUCUUGAUAAGCUCAGAGAACAUCAGUUCUACGCCAUGUUCUCCAAGUGUGAAUUUUGGCUCGAUGAGGUUCUUUAUCUUGGUCAUAUCAUCUCUGCCAAGGGCAUUGCCAUGAAUCCUGAGAAGGUGUCUGCAAUUGUGAAUUGGGAACCUCCUCAGAACGUGAAGCAACUCCGUAGCUUCCUCGGUCUCGCAAGCUAUUGCCGAAGAUUCGUUGAAAACUUUUCUAAAAUCGCGAAGCCUCUCUCUAAUCUUCUCCAGAAGCACGUCAAGUACGUUUGGUCUCCGGAGUGUGACAUUGCUUUCAACACUUUGAAAGAGAAAUUGAUCACUGCUCCAGUUCUGACUCCGCCUGAUGAAUCCAAGCCAUGCGAGGUCUUUUGUGAUGCCUCUCUCCAAGGUCUUGGCGCAGUAUUGAUGCAAGAGAAGAAAGUUGUUGCUUAUACCUCUCGCCAGUUGAAGCCUAAUGAGAAGAACUACCCCACUCAUGAUCUCGAGUUGGCGGCAGUUGUGCAUGCUCUUUUGACUUGGAGACAUCUUCUAUUGGGAAGAAAAGUGGACAUUUUCACUGAUCACAAGAGUCUCAAGUACAUCUUCACUCAGCCUAAUCUCAACCUCAGGCAAACUCGAUGGGUCGAAAUGAUUCAAGAGUAUAAUCCGAGUAUCGAGUAUACUCCAGGCAAGGCCAAUGUGAUUGCUGACGCUUUGAGCAGAAAGGCCUACUGCAACAGUCUGAUUCUUAAGCCUUAUCAACCCGAGCUUUGUGAAGUUUUCCGCAAACUUAAUCUGCAAGUUGUUCCUCAAGGUUUCCUCGCCAACCUUCAAGUCUCUCCUACCUUAGAAGACCAGAUUCGCCAAGCCCAGCUUCUUGAUGCUAUGGUGAAAAAGGUGAAGAUUGGGAUUGCCAAGAGUCAACCCAAGUACAAGUGCUACCGCCUUGAUGACAAGGACACUCUCUUCUUUGAGGAUCGUAUUGUUGUGCCCAAAGGUGACCUCCGUAAAGUGAUCAUGAACGAGGCUCACAAUUCUCUCCUCUCCAUCCACCCUGGGAGCACGAAGAUGUAUCAGGACCUCAAGCAAGCUUAUUGGUGGACUCGAAUGAAGCGCGAAAUCGCUCAAUUCGUGAAUGAAUGUGAUGUCUGCAGAAGAGUGAAGGCAGAACACCAAAGGCCAGCAGGUCUCCUCCAACCUCUUGCCAUUCCAGAAUGGAAGUUUGACCACAUUGAAAUGGACUUCGUGACUGGGUUUCCAAAGUCCAAGCGUGGCAAUGAUGCUAUAUUCAUUGUCAUCGACAAACUCACCAAAGUGGCUCAUUUUCUGCCUAUCAAAGAGUCGAUCACUGCAGCUCAAUUGGCGGAACUCUAUACCUCUCGUAUUGUCUCUCUGCACGGUAUUCCACAAGUGAUCUCUUCAGACCGUGGCAACAUCUUUACCUCGAAGUUUUGGGAUUCUUUUCAGAAGGCCAUGGGCACCAACAUCCGUUUCAGCACAGCUUUCCAUCCUCAAACUAGUGAUCAAGUCGAGCGUGUCAACCAGAUUCUUGAAGAUAUGCUCAGGGCUUGUGUGAUCUCCUUCGGCAUGAAGUGGGAGGAUUGUCUUCCUUAUGCUGAAUUCUCCUACAACAACAGUUUUCAAGCAAGUUCGGGCAAGGCCCCAUUUGAAAUUCUAUAUGGUAGGAAGUGCCAUACCCCUCUCAACUGGUCUGAAACCGGUGAACGUCAGCUUUUGGGUAAUAACUUAAUCACAGAGGCAGAAGAAAUGUGCAAAGUCAUUCGUGAUAACCUCAAAGCAUCCCAAUCCCGCCAGAAGAGAUACUAUGAUAGUAAGCACCGUGAUUUGGCUUUCGAGAUCGGAGAUCAUGUUUACCUCCGCGUCUCUCCUAUAAAAGGUACUCGUCGCUUCGGUAUCAAAGGGAAGCUUGCCCCUAGAUACGUGGGACCUUUCAAGAUUGUCAGCAAGAGAGGCGACCUUGCCUAUCAACUCGAGCUUCCUUCAAACUUUGCCAAUGUUCAUGACGUGUUCCAUGUCUCUCAGCUUCGAAAGUGCUUCAAGACUCCUGACCGCACCGUCAACUUCGAGGACAUUGAGCUCCAAGAAGAUCUCUCUUAUCGUGAGCACCCAGUUGCUAUUCUUGAAGAGACUGAACGCAAGACUCGCAACAAGUCAAUCAAAUUUCUCAAAGUCAAGUGGUCACACCAUUCCGACCGUGAAGCUACCUGGGAACGCGAGGAUCACCUCCGUUCUGAGUACCCGGCGUUCUUUCAGUCCUAGAUCUCGGGAUGAGAUCCUUUCGUAGUGGUGGAGUGUUGUAACACCCCGGAUGUAACUUUCCCAAUUUGUACUCCAACUCUUGUCAUUUCCGGCGUUAAUUAUAUUUAUUUCCUCGGGUUCGGGUUUUGUCUCCGUGUGUUGUUGUCGUUGUCAUGCAUCUCAUAUAAUGUCAUCAUGUGCAUUGCAUCUGCAUACGUGUUCGUCUCUUGCAUUCGAGCUUUUUCCCCGUUGUCCGUUUUGCAUUCCGGCGCUUCGUUCUCCUCCGGUGGUCAUUUCUAACUUUCUUUCAUGUGUGGGGAUUAAACAUUUCCGGAUUGGACCGAGACUUGCCAAGUGGCCUUGGUUUACUACCGGUAGACCGCCUAUCAAGUUUCGUACCAUUUGGACUCCGUUUGAUACUCCAACGGUUAACCGAGGGACCAAUAAGGCCUCGUGUGUGUUGCAGCACAACACCCCUCCAAUUUGGCCCAAAACCCACCUAACUCUGCUCCAUCACCUAGAGUGUUCAAUCACGAUCGCGUCGCCGAAAACCGCACCUCAUUUGGACUCUCCUAGCUCCCUCUAUGCCUAUUUAAACACCCCCCGAUUUUCGGAUCUCCUCCUACCUUCGAAACCCUAGAAAUCGUCCCUGCGCUGCACCGGACGAAAACCUGCCGACGGACAUUGUCCGGCCCACCUCUCCGCCGCCACGUGGCGCCCCGGGAUUCAUCCGCCCGGGCGCCCACAUCGCCCGCCGCCGCCACUCCCGCCGGCNNNNNNNNNNNNNNNNNNNNNNNNNNNNNNNNNNNNNNNNNNNNNNNNNNNNNNNNNNNNNNNNNNNNNNNNNNNNNNNNNNNNNNNNNNNNNNNNNNNNNNNNNNNNNNNNNNNNNNNNNNNNNNNNNNNNNNNNNNNNNNNNNNNNNNNNNNNNNNNNNNNNNNNNNNNNNNNNNNNNNNNNNNNNNNNNNNNNNNNNNNNNNNNNNNNNNNNNNNNNNNNNNNNNNNNNNNNNNNNNNNNNNNNNNNNNNNNNNNNNNNNNNNNNNNNNNNNNNNNNNNNNNNNNNNNNNNNNNNNNNNNNNNNNNNNNNNNNNNNNNNNNNNNNNNNNNNNNNNNNNNNNNNNNNNNNNNNNNNNNNNNNNNNNNNNNNNNNNNNNNNNNNNNNNNNNNNNNNNNNNNNNNNNNNNNNNNNNNNNNNNNNNNNNNNNNNNNNNNNNNNNNNNNNNNNNNNNNNNNNNNNNNNNNNNNNNNNNNNNNNNNNNNNNNNNNNNNNNNNNNNNNNNNNNNNNNNNNNNNNNNNNNNNNNNNNNNNNNNNNNNNNNNNNNNNNCCACCACCAGUCGCCGCCACCGCGCCCUACGCCGCCGCCCCCGGCCACCGGUGUCCGUGCCCGCCGGCCGCCAUCGUCCGGCCUCCCCCUCGUCGCCGGCAACCUCCUCCUCUCUGGCAGCUACAGUUCCUCGCCGGAGUUCCUCGAUUUCCGUGCGCGAGAUCUAGAUCCAAAAAACCCUAGAGGUUGAUUUUUUUGUCCAAGUCCCGAAAUUCUCAGUCCAAGUGCUCAUGUUCGCGGCUCCGUAACUUUGCAUCCAUAGCUCUGAUUCAUGCAUGUAGCAUAUCAAAAUGUUCAUCUCAGAGAGUACAUCAUUUCAUUCCAUUGUAUCAUUUUCAUUUGGGUUCAUCUUGAUGCCCGAAAUGCUGUUAGAAGAGGGCUACUUGAGUUAAUUGUCAGAUCUGUUACUCCGUUUAGCACUUUUGUCAUUUUUGUCACGAUUAUUGUGUGCUUGAUAUGCCCGUGAGUUCUACAUAUGUUUUGUUAAGGGCUUUGUCAUCUCUCCAGAGGUGCAACCCAUGUAUUUUUAGGAUGUGUGUAGUGACUAGUGCAAGCUUGCAAAGUGGUGCACUUGCUAAUUCUGUUUUCAGGGACUUAGUAAUUUCACUAAGUCCUGGAGCUGUUUAUCUCAUGAUGCCAUAUGUUCAUGUUGUUUCCUAUUGAUCCGUGACUCUUUUGAGGAUGAGCAGUAAGGAUGUUUUGUUAAUAUUGUAGUGCUCUAUCCAUCCAUGUCUUUGUUUGCAAUUAUGGAGCAACCUAGCUUGAGUCAAUCGAGCUCUACUUUUGCUACUUUGUGAAUCUGGGCAGAUUGUCAACUUGUUUGCAAUUUUGCCGGUGAUGUUGUAGUUGAUCCGUGCAUGCUAUGCUAUUGUUCUUGCCAUGUCUAGCUUUAGUUUUGUGCCUUCUUGAUAGAUGUAUGCUUGCCUUGCCAUGCCUUACAACGUAGUGAGUGCAUCGAGCUCGUAAACAUGCCUACUUGAGCUAUAUUUCAGCUUGCUCCAGUUUUCACUUAAGUAUGAAAACUGAUUAUGUUUUUGCUAUGUUCACAUGCUUGCAAUUGUAUUUUCUGGUCCUUUUUGGCUCAAUGUCACUAAGGGACUUUUGUUAAGCUCUUUGAGUAGCUCCACGCCAUGCUUUACUUUUCCAUGUUCAGAUCCUGUAGCAUGUAGUUUUGUUUCUCCGAAGAGGGCUACCUUGAUCUGAAAUUCCAGACAAGUGUUAAUUUCACUAACUCUAAGAUCUGUUUGCCAUAUGCAUUUUUGUCAUGCUUGUUUGAACCUGUUAAUGGAUGAAUUGGCCGUAGCUCAGUGCUAGACUUUUGUUAAGCAUCUUGUGUUCAUCCCUGCCAUGUAUUUUGUUGUCAUGUUUGGGUGUUGUAGCAUGUUCAUCUCAUUGUAUUUAGAUGCCUACUUGCUGUAAAUCGCAAACCGGCGUAAUAUUUGAAUCGCUUGCCAUUUCCAAACCAUAACUCUGAUUCUAGCGUUCUUUAUAUUGUUUUCAAGCGAUUUCAUCUCAUCUUUCCAGUGGAACACUUGGUUUUCCAAGUUGAGGCCAGGUUCAUGCAUUUCCUGUCAUAUCUUGCAUUUUGCAUCCCGUAUUGUAUUCCGCAUAGCAUAUCAUCAUUUCAUCAUAUUGCUUGGUCUUGCACGUGGUUGAUUGUAUCCAUGUUGCUUGUUUGUUUUGUUUGGGUAGAGCUGGGAGACGAGUUCUCUAACGAGGAGCCCGUUGAGUUUGCUUUCGAGGAUCCAGUCAACUCUGACAACUGUGCAGGCAAGAUGAUCAUACCCUCGAAAUCACUACUAUCUUUGCUAUGCUAGUUUGCUCGCUCUUUUGCUAUGCCAUUGCUACGAUGCCUACCACUUGCUUGCAAGCCUCCCAAAUUGCCAUGUCAAACCUCUAACCCACCUUGUCCUAGCAAACCGUUGAUUGGCUAUGUUACCGCUUUGCUCAGCCCCUCUUAUAGCGUUGCUAGUGCAGGUGAAGAUUGGAGGCCGUUCCUUGUUGGAACAUCUUUUACUUACUUGUUGGGAUAUCAUUAUAUUGCUAUGCUAUCUUAAUGCAUCUAUAUACUUGGUAAAGGGUGGAAGGCUCAGCAUCUCGCCUAGUGUUUUGUUCCACUCUUGCCGCCCUAGUUUCCGUCAUAUCGGUGUUAUGUUCCCGGAUUUUGCGUUCCUUACGCGGUUGGGUUAUAUGGGAACCCCUUGAUAGUUCGCCUUGAUUAAAGCUUUUCCAGCAAUGCCCAAGAUUGGUCUUACCAUUCGCCACCUAGCCUUUUCUUUCCCUUGGGUUCUGCAGACUCAAGGUUCAUNNNNNNNNNNNNNNNNNNNNNNNNNNNNNNNNNNNNNNNNNNNNNNNNNNNNNNNNNNNNNNNNNNNNNNNNNNNNNNNNNNNNNNNNNNNNNNNNNNNNNNNNNNNNNNNNNNNNNNNNNNNNNNNNNNNNNNNNNNNNNNNNNNNNNNNNNNNNNNNNNNNNNNNNNNNNNNNNNNNNNNNNNNNNNNGGUCCAACCGAGCGAUGUCCGGGGCUACCAGGGGCAACUCUAGGCUGGCCUACCCGACGUCUGGCUCAUCUGAGUGUGCCCUGAGAAAGAGAUAUGUGCAGCUCCUAUCGGGAUUUGUCGGCACAUUCGGGCGGUGUUGCUGGUCUUGUUUUAACUUGUCGAAGUGUCUUGAAUUACCGAGAUACCGAGUCUGAUCGGAACGUCUUGGGAGGAGGUCUAUUCCUUCGUUGACCAUAAGAGCUUGUCAUGGGCUAAGUUGGGACUCCCCUGCAGGGAUUUGAACUUUCGAAAGCCGUGCCCGCGGUUAUGGGCAGAUGGGAAUUUGUUAAUGUCCGGUUGUAGAUAACUUGAACCUUAAUUUAAUUAAAAUGAAUCAACUGAGUGUGUUACCGUGAUGGCCUCUUCUCGGUGGAUACUGGGAAGUGGACAAAGUGUUGGAGUAAUGUUUGCGCAGGCUGCUAUCUAGUUUCUCGCUCGCGCUUUGCCUCCUCUUCUCGCUCUCUUUUGCAAAUAAGUUAGCCACCAUACUUGCUAGUCGCUUGCUGCAGCUCCACUCAUAUUCACCUUGCCAUACCUAUAAGCUUAAAUAGUCUUGAACGCGAGGGUGCGAGAUUGCUGAGUCCCUGUGGCUCACAGAUUACUAUUACACCAGAUGCAGGGCCUGAUGAUUCCGCUCCAGGAGACGCGUAUGAGCUCAAGUGGGAGUUCGACGAAGACUCUCAACGUUACUACGUUUCCUUUCCCGAUGAUCAGUAGUGGUGCCCAGUUGGGGGUGAUUGGGACCGUGUCGCAUGUUGGGUUCUCUUUUAUUUUGGCGCCGUAGUCGGGCCAUGAGUGUUUGGAUGAUCUGAUGUUAUUUAUGUACUUGAUUGACGUGGCGAGUGUAAGCCAACUAUGUUAUAUCCCCUUUCAUUAUUAUAUUACAUGGGAUGUUGUGAAGAUUGCCUAACUUGCGACAUAUGCCUUCAAUGCGAUUAUGUCUCUAAGUCGUGCCUCGACACGUCGGAGCUAUAGUCGCAUCGAGGGUGUUACAUGCACCCUGUACCAGUGCAGCCCGCCACGGGAUAGCACGGACUUGGUGCCGAAUAUCACUUCUUUAUGCACUUCUCCCGGCCUGACAAUGCUUCUCGGCGGUUGGAUGGAGCCCAACGAUAAAACAUAGCAGCCAGCUUCCCUCCCAGCUGCCAGACACGGGUAUAUCAGUACCCUGUAUUCGACGGUUGGGGGGUGACGGUACAUCCCCAAGAACGUGAAGUCCAUAGGCACCAUGCGGCGGGCAUACUGACGGGCUGCUGGGUUGCAGAUACCCAAGGACUCGCGGCGCCACCAGUCGAACACAACGAGGCCGUCAAAGGAGGCCACCAGAUCUUUGAAUUCGGAGGCUCGGCCAAGUAGCACGACGGGCUAGAGCUUGUCGGCGGCGGCCCGGUGGUCGAAGGGGAUGAUGUCUAUGUCGCCACCGACCUUGUAGUGGCUGUAGUGGGGAAGGUUGCGGACGUAGAGGAGGGGGCGGGUGGGCUGGCGGGCGUGGUUGGCGAUGAGGAAGUCACGGGCGGAGGUGGCUGUGCGCCAGGCACGGCAGACGGCACGGCAGCGGAGGAGCGAUUUGGGGGGCAGGCGGACGAGGAUGUCCUAGAUGAGUAUCUCAUCCGGGAUGCUACCAUGAGGAGGCGUCGGCCCUCCCCUUGCUGCCUCCGCCAUGGCGGCCGGCGUGAAGCUAGACCUGCAUCUCGAUCUGUCGCACGGUAGAGAGGACAAGUAGAGACGUGUGGGGAAAAGUGGUAGGUAGUGACGGCUGAGGGUUUCAUGGUCGUGGUCGUGGGGAUAGGAAUAAUAUGUGCCUUUUUUUCUUUUCUUUUUUUAACAGGUAUUAGGCGCCGUAGGCGUCCAAUUUCAUUCAGCCCAAAACCAGCGUACAGCCCCUAAAAAACAUGUUGUACAAAGUCCUGGAGAUUUAGAUGGGAAAGAAGAUAGAUUACAAGGCAACGCAUGUGUGUUCUGUGAGCUGAACCAUGCAACUACCUCAUGAGCAACAUUACGAGCAAUACCAUUGAUCUUCCUAGAUAUGUGAUACACCUGCAUGUGGACAUGUUUUGUUGACCCGAAGAGAUCACAAGAGUGGUUCUAAUAGUCCAAGGAAUAGAAUCAGCUGAAAUAGGUUCUCAAAAACAAAAAUCAACCAUAAAAAAUUCCAAUUCUUGAUUGGCCCUCCCCUUCCCCUCGCGUCGCCCUCCCGAGGGCGACUCGAGGGUUCCCUCCCCCGGCCGCCGCUAACCCCCUUCUCGGACCUCCCCUCCUCACCGUCGCCGGAGGCAGUCGUCGGGCUCCCCACGCGGCCACUGAAGAGGGCGGCGGCGGGGUUCUCUGCCGCUCUGUCGCUGGGCAGGGGGCUAGAGCUCGGGGCGGCGGCUCCAGGUGGUGCGGGCAGCGUCCCUUAGCGCGGUGGGCCGCCUCUGCCCAGCUGUGUGGGUGACGGGCCCGCGGUGGAUCCAAGCGGCUGGUGGUCGGGUCCCCGUGUGUGGCCUCUCCAGAUCUGAAGAUGCCUCCUUUGGCUACUGACGCGGCCUCUCCUACGCCAUGUCUUGCUGGAUCCGGUGGACGACCCCAUGGUGGUGGGGUGAGGAGCCCUGGAUCGGGGUAACCUCUUGGUCCGCGGCGGCGGCCACAUCGUCGGCGGUGCUCCGGGCGCCACUACUCUUCCCGAAGGCGACGUUGAGGUCCAUCUCCCUCCCCUCCUCCCUCCCCUACUCCGGGUGAAAAUCCACAGCCUUGGUUGGGCGGCGACGGUGCUCCUGCACCUCCUUCUUGAAGGCAUCGUUUUGGGUUGUGGGAUGGAGGAUGGCCUAGGCAAGCCUUUGGUGUCCUAGUUAGCGGUGGAUCCUUCGUCCAACAGUGACUUCCUGCCAUGGAGGAUCAAUGCCCUCCUCAAGCUGCUUCAUUUCCUCCUCUGCGCGGUCCCGUUGUCCGGUGGGUCGACGCCCUUGGCCUGGGCGAGAGGGGAUAGUGGUCCCCUCUAUGGCGAUCUGGUCGUGUUGUUGGAGGAGUGUCGCUGGUCUUAGUGUGGCUCGGCCCUCCUGGUGGCGCCGUUGCCCAUUGCUCGCUGUGUCUUCUUGAAGUGCUCUAUUCCUAUGGCUACUCUCUGCGGCAUGCUCCUCACGUGCAAGUUGCAAUUUGUGGCUUCGGGUGUGCUCGAGUGGUAGCCCUGUUUUCUUGCUGGCUCUAGCGAGAGCAGCUCCGCUUUGCCUUCGGCGUGUCGGUGGUGAGCUCCUUCCUUGGCGCAAUCCCGUCUAGCCCCUGUUAGGUCUCCAAGUUGUACUCUUUUUAUUCUCUGGUCAUAGAUUUUAGCCUCAUCGGUGCCUUGCAUCUGCUGCCUGGGGUUGCAUCCCCAUUUUCCUUUUUAUCUUCGGUUGUAUGGUGUGCUCUUGUAAUCCUGGUCGGUUGAUGGCUUUGUUAAUUCAAAGUCGGGUGAAGAUCAAGCCCUACUCAGGCUCGGUUCGACCCUUUCAUCUAAAAAACAAAAGUCAGGUGAAAUACUUCUGGCCGCAGCCACUUUUGCAAAGAGAUUAAUCUGCAAAGCAUGGGUCACUUUGGCCGCAAGAACAAGAGCCAAAGCUUCACCCUGAAGAGGAGAUUAAGUGAUCAGAGCCGAUGUUUGAAUCUGCACUUGAGUGUCCCUCUGGUCCUGCAAGAUAGCUAUGAUGCCAUGCAAUAAGCCAGGGAUUUUUCUUGCACAUGAAUGUCGCAUCAGAGUAAUCUUUUGAUCUUGCGAUAAGUACAUCAGUGCGAAGGGUGCGGCCCCCUGAUGAAUCGUCAUCACACUCAUGGACCCUUGGAUGUGGUGUUGCACAUUAACCUGGCUAGGAUCAAAAGAGUUCACCAAAGAAAUAGUUUGAUCAAGCAAAGUAGUAGCAACAAUAUACACAUGAUGAGGAAAAGAGCACUUUCUAGCAAAAAGGCAAUCAUUCUAGAUUUCCGUCUGCACCGCAUGAAAUUGAAAAUGGUAAGUAUUGAUGCAUACUUGCAUAGGGGUAAUUCAUAUUAAGUAAAGCAUGAAUAACACUAUGCAAAGAGAGAUGAUUAUGCCUUCAAAUAUCAGAUCUAAUGUACCAAGGAUGACCAAACCAAGCUACUCGGGUAAGGUCACAAAGGAAAAAUAGGUACAUAUCAUUUUCACCUUGGUCAAAACGGCAACAUAUUUUUGGAAAUCUGAAUAGUGAGAUGACCAGCCCUCAAACCUAUGCAAGAGAUUUACGAAGAAGUCUCCAACCGAAAGUUUUGACUCUCGGAACCAUCCAUUUGUUCUUCCAGCCCUACGUAAGAAUGUCUUUAAACAGAGAUAUUGGUAGGAAGAUUCCUUGGUAUGUUAUGAAUAUCACGCAAAUACAACUAGUAAGUAGACAUGGAGUUCCAGCCCUAUUUGCCAUUUGGAUUGAGAUCCCAGCCAGGAAUGUCUGAGUGAUAAUGGAAGCCAUGUGUUCUUUUAAAAGAGCGUGAAUGAAACUAUAGUUCCAUUGUUUACCUGGACAGGAUAAAUAAUGAGGACAACUGGUUGGAUAAUGAGAUCGUUGUAAAUGUCUGCUCAAGCUGAGCACAAAGGAGUACUCCAGAUGGAUAUAUUCCCUUGACUAACUUGGAAAAAAUAGUGAGCUUUAAGUUUGGGGAGCAUUUUAAGAAUUUAUGACCAGAAGGCAUAUUUAGGAGUAUUUGCAAUAGCAACCUAAAUGGAUGUAUCGGGGAGCAUUUGGAUUUGAGCACUCAACAAAAAUGAGAAAGUGUGAGCAUUGGCAAGCCUCCACUUAGAGACAAGAACUACACCUUCAUUCAUAGCUUGGAGGUUUCUUCUACCUAGCCCACCCACUUGUUUGGAUGUACAAAUAUCCUUCCAAGCUCUGAGGCAAAGACUUUCGAUGGAGUUGUUCUCUCUUAUUCUUGGCCAACAAAAAGUUCAGAUGAUAACAGUGAGCUUAUAUUAGCAAUAUUUUUUUGGUGAAUAAGAUAAUCGACACAUAAUCGACAUGAGUUGAAGAGAAAAAUGAUCUGAUGAGCUCUAUCCUGGCUGCAUGAGAAAGCUUGUUAGCUUUGUAAGUAGGCGGUUUCGCCAUGAAUCUAUCAGGAACAAAGUUGUAAGUUGCAGCUCCGUUUUUGGCCCGAAGGAUUAGAGGAUGGCCCAAUGAGAAAAAUGCAUCCUUGGAAGGAAUUGGGAAAAUGUCUUUAAUGUCUGCAAUCAUAACUUUAUUUACAUAAGCACUAAAAAUAGGUGAUUUGGACCAGUUAGGAGUUUGACCUGAAAUGGCACAAAAAUGGUGGCUAAUUUGUGCCAUAGUGUGGGGUUCUUGCAUACUUGCAUGACCACAAACUAGGAGAUCGUCUGAAAAAGGAAGAGAAUGGACAGGAGGGUAAUUUGGGCCAAGCAUUACACCUUGAAGAUUGUUAUCACUGAUGGUACCAUUAAGGGACAGAGGAAGUUCAUUAAUUGCGAGCACAAAUUGAUAGGGUGACGAGAAUGGCCUUGACAAACACCCUAAUGGCCCUUGAAUCUCUAUAUCAGGUGUCCAUUAAUGAUGACACAGUAAGCAGGCGUGGAAACGCAUGCAUAAAUUAAUGACCAUGCAACCCUUUACGUGCGAGAGCCAAGACAGUGAAAUUCUAUUCAAUAUAGUCAAAAGAUUUAGCAAGAUGAAUCUUAAGCAUGAAAGCAUGAUGUUUCCAAGAUCUAAGUGAAAAAAGUGUGAGUAAUCUCUUGAGCAAUAAUAAUGUUACUAGGUGUCCGGCCUUUCAAUAAAUGCCUGUUGAGAUGGAUCAAAAUAAUCAGGUAGAUGGGGUUUGAGCCUAUUAGCUAAAGACUUAGAAAUGAUCUUAUAAAUAAUACUACAAAGUAUAAUAGGUCUAUAUUGAGUGCGAACUUGAAGAACCAGCUUUUUAUGGAUUAGAGGAAUGUUGCUGUCAGCAGGUGGGAGAAUACUUUUGUUUAUAGAAGUUGACCGCCAAGGUCGUGACUUCAUCAGCAAUCGAGUCACAAGUAGCAAGAUAAAACUCAACAUUGAAGCCAACCUGGCCACACAACAAGUUCAACUUCAUAUCCUUGAGGAUCUUCAAGAUUUCAUGCUUAUCUGGAAUAGAGGGGUCAUCCGAUUGAGUCAAUUGGUGAGAAGCAAUGUCGGCCUGCUCAUGUUGAUGUUAGAAGAGGCAAAAAUGAAUCUGACAAAAAACUGUUGGCAAUUUGAUUUGUUUUGAAAUGAAUCACAUCAUGUUCAUCCUUUAUUGAAAAAACAAAAUUUUUCCUUCUUGUUUUGAGAAUAGCCUACUGAAACAAUAUAGUGUUUCUAUCCCCAUCUUCAGCCCAUGUCUCGAAUUAUCAGUUUGGUUUGGCCUACUAGAUUGAUCUUUUUUGCAAUGGGAAAAGUGCUUAGCUUUGGGUUCAAUCUUGCGGUGUCCUUUCCCAGUGACAGCAGGGGAGCAAGGCACGUAUUGUAUUGUUGCCAUCGAGGAUAAAAAGAUGGGGUUUAUAUCAUAUUGCUUGAGUUUAUCCCUCUACAUCAAGUCUUCUUGCCUAAUGCAUUACUCUGUUCUUAUGAACUUAAUACUCAGUGGUCGAUGUGUGGAGUAAUAGUAGUAGAUGCAUAAUCGUUUCGGUCUACUUGUUGCGGACGUGAUGCCUAUAUACUGCCUAUAUACAUGAUCAUGCCUAUAUAUUCUCAUAAUUAUUCACUUUUCUAUCAAUUGCUCAACAGUAUUUUUUUCACCCACCGUAAUACUUAUGCUAUCUUGAGAGAAGCCACUAGUGAAACCUAUGGCCCCCGGGUCUAUCUUUUAUCAUAUAUGUUUCCAAUCUAUUUUACUUUGCAAUAUUUAUUUUCCAAUCUAUAUCAUAAAAAUACCAAAAAUAUUUAUUUUAUUAUCUCUAUCAGAUCUCACUCUCGUAAGUGACCGUGAAGGGAUUGACAACCCCUUUAUCGCGUUGGUUGCGAGGUUCUUAUUUGUUUGUGUAGGUACGAGGGACUUGCGUGUAGUCUCCUACUUGAUUGAUACAUUGGUUCUCAAAAACUGAGGGAAAUACUUACACUACUUUGCUGCAUCACCCUUUCCUCUUCAAGGGAAAACCAACGCAGUGAUCAAGAGGUAGGAACUCACCCGGACGGUUCUCUUGAGCGCUACAAGGCUCGGUUGGUGGUUCGUGGAUUUUGGCAGUGCGUGGGCGUGGACUUCACCGACACCUUCGCCCCGGUUGUUAAACUGGGCAUGAUCAGCGCCGUGCUCCAGUUGGCGAUCUCGCGCGCCUAGCCUGUGCACCAGUUGGAUGUCUACAACGUCUUCUUGCACGGCCAUCUUGCCAAGCAGGUGUACUGUGAGCAGCCCACUGGCUUCGUCGACGCUGAGCACCCAGACUUUGUGUGCUUGCUCUCCCAUUCUCUUUACGGGUUGAACCAAGCGCCUCGGGCUUGGUACCAGCAUAUCGCCGCCUUCUGCAGUCUAUGGGAUUUCGGUCCAGUCACUCCGAUGCCUCACUCUUUGUGUAUCAUCAGGGAGCUGACACUGCAUAUCUACUUCUCUAGGUCGACGACAUCAUCCUCACGGCGUCCACCCCCGGUCUCCUUCAGUGGCUGACUGCUAGUCUUCGUGAAAAGUUCGCCCUCAAGGACUUGGGGCCCCUCCACUAUUUCCUCGGCAUCGAGGUGGUCCGCCGGACUGAUGGUUUUUUUCUGCAUCAGCAGAAGUACGCCCACGAGCUCCUGGAGUGUGCCGGUAUGCUUAACUGCAAGCCGACGCCCACGCCCGUCGACACGAAGAUGAAGGUCUCUACUCUGUAGGGGUCUCUCGCGUCCGAUGGAGCGUUUUUUCGCUCCAUUGUUGGUGCUUUACAGUACAUGACGCUGACUCGGCCAGACCUGCAGUACGCCGUUCAGCAGGUGUGCCUCCACAUGCACGCUCUGCGUGACUCCCACUGGACCUUAGUGAGGCGUAUUCUUCGGUAUAUACUCGGCAACAUGUCUUUGGGACUCACCCUGAUGGCCUCCGCCUCCACCGACCUCGUGGCCUACUCAGAUGCCGACUAGACUAGCUGCCCCGACACUUGACGCUCCAUGUCAGGAUAGAGCGUCUACCUUGGGACCUCGUUGAUCUCUUGGUCAUCGAAGCGGCAGCCCACGGUCUCCCGCUCCAGCGCCGAGGCAGAGUAUCGCGCCGUGGCUAAUAACAUGGCCGAGUGCUCUUGGCUCCAUCAGCUGCUCCAGGAGUUGCUUUGUGAUAUUUAUAAGGCCACUCUUGUCUACUGCAAUAACGUAGCACGGUCUACCUUUCCGCCAACCCGGUGCACAUUGAUGUACGAAGUAUAUUGAGAAAGAUAUUCACUUCGUGCGCGAGCAGCUUGCCCUUGGCCGUGUUCGGGUUCUUCACGUGCCGACGUCGCAACAGUUUGCUGAUUAGAUGACUAAGGGAUUACCUACUUCCGUCUUCGAGGAGUUUCGGUCCAUUCUCCGUGUCUCUGGCGCCGCUUCGACUACGGGGGGUGUUGAGUUGUAUUUUGUGUUGCAUGUAUUACGUGUUGUGACCCACCUCCUAGUUGUGUAUAGUUGAGGUUGAGGUCUACCCUGUACUCAUAUAUACGUGCACCAGCACCCCAUCAAUACAACUAUUAUUGUAUUGCAAAACAUCUCUCUACACCAACCAUCCUCUUGCUUCGUUAUUGCCAUGACCUCCUUUAUUUGGUCUUCGUUUCAAGCUCGAAGAUACUCUGGGAAAAAAAUCCGGAUUAUUUUCUUCGCACAGACACAGACACUUUUGAUGGUGGUAUCUUCGCCAAUGCGAAGGUAUUCAUCCGCGUAGUAGGCCAAAACACCAUAUGCUAUCACUCUCAUCGCCGCCGAAUUUUUUUGAGAUGUACUAAAACCAAUCAAACCGGCGGCAUUCCUAUGUCGGGUGAAGAAACGGCAAUUGUGCUCACAAUCCUCGUUGAUGGAUGAAAAGUAACCUACGCAUUCGAUAUCGCCUACAGAAGAGGUGAGCUGGAUACGUCGGUACCUCGGCGAAGUAGUCCUUCAUAAGCAUUUUGUCACCGAGAGCUCGGUUGUGGGGAAUGCAUAGCUGACCGACCAUCGAUCCACGCCGCUUUUUAUUCAGCCCUGCCUCAAAUUCCUCAACCAGAUGCAACAACACUAGGUUGUCAUCAUUGUUGUCGAGGAUCAACUCUUCUAUGUCUGAAUCGUUAGACGAAGACAACGAGAUGAACUCCAAUCCAUCUACAAAAUGCACACAUGCUAGCAUGAGUUUCACCCGAACCUACUUCAGGCCAAAAUCGAGAACGAACUGCAUGAGUUUCACCCGAACAUACCAUGCCCGAAGCAAAGCCGCGUCGCGCCGCCCUUUAUUCUCCCCGCCGACCGACGAGAUGUCGCGCCGCCCCUUUCUUCCUUCGCCCUUGAAGCGCGCCAUCCCUUUCAUUUCCCCGCCGGCCGAAGCAGCACCGUGCCGCCCUCUUCCCCUGACGAGCGUCGCUCAUAGUCGCCGAAACCAACCAGAUCUGCAAGGAAUGAGCCUGCGCGCUGAGCUCCCAGGCGAUCCAUGGCGCCGGCGCUGAACGCAAUCCGCCGACCCAAAUGGUAACCCCCGCAGCCAAAAGUUGGUGGAGUGGAUGCGGCACGGGGUGGGAGAGCUUUCAGGCGGUGCGGGGCAGCUGGAAGCAGUACCAAGGGGCAUGGAUGUGCGGCGGUGGCGGCAGGGAGUGCAAGCGGGAAACAGAAGCCGGCGAAAGUGGUUCGCGCCAACGGAAAGUGGAUCCUCCAAAAUCGGAUGGAUUCCCGCACAUAUGAAGGAAUUGAGCUCGUGGAUGCGGAAUCCCACAAAAAAAUUAGGACGGCCCGGUUUGCCGGAUGUGCUAGAGAUGAUCUUACCUGGCUACCCCCUAAGAGCAUCUCUAGUUGUGCCCCAAACACAUCCUCCCCAGGCGAUUUUUUCACGCCGGCACAAAAAAAUCGGCCCAACCGCGCCCCAAGAAGCCGAAUUUUCGCCGGCUCGGGCCGAAUUUGGCGCCGGCGCACCCAAGCCGAACCAGGCACGCUGGGGGCGCCGGGCGAAACAGUUUUGGCACGAAAGAGCCGCAGGCCCGUCGAGUCAGUGACACUCGCCUUAGCGUCCUCAAAACGCCUCAGUUUCCUGCGGGGAAUCAAUGCCAAGGCUGCUGCUGGUCAGCCUUCCAUUGAUUCCUCACCAUGGGGCGGCUCUUCAUGGGCGGUGCGGCGACGGCUCAUUCCCCGCGACAACGUACACAUGUCUCUCCGGCGGCUAUCAAAAGCGUCCCCCCCCCGCCGCUAUCCACAGAUGUCGUGCUCUCUGCCUCUCUCUCUCCGCCGCCGACGAACCUCUCCUCUAUCCUCAGCCCAGCCACGACGAUGUGCGAGCAGUUCCCCAGUGACGGAGCGGCGACCAACGGCUUCGGCCGCCGCUCGCUGCACGCGGGGGAGGCGCACCUGCUUUUCGAGGCCAACAUCCUGGCGCCUCCAGACAUGUGCACUGGGCCGACAGGAUGGAGGCUUAGCGCUGGAGGCGUCCCCGUUUCCCCACUGCCGGACAUCGACGCGUGCCCCGACUACUUCGCCGGCAAGGUCGACCAUGUUUGGUCGUUGCUGACUGAGGAGCGGUGCGCCUCCCCGCAGCACGCCGUCGACAACCACGAGGCGUGGGCGGUGUACUUCCAGCGCCGUCAGGAGCAGCGCCUCGCCUCCACCAAUGGGGCACCGAUGGUGGGGGGCCGGGGGAACAGCGAGGGGCAACGCCUGUGGUGGGCCGCCCCCGGUCGGACGCUCCACGAGGUUCUCGCGUACCUCGAGAGCGGCAACAACCCGCCGCUCACAUACCCGGCCGCCGCGCCGGUCCCCCGCCGCGCCACCGGGCAAUGGAUGCCCAUGAGAUUUGUCUCCGGCUCGCCGUCCUCGUCCGCUCCUCUUCCCACUCCUCCAGCUCUCCGGCGGUGUUCAGCGUCAAGGCCGAGCCGCAGCGGAGACCCCGCUCGGCGGGCGCACCCUCUCGGCCAGCAUCGUCAUCAACGAAGGCAGCGGGCACGCCUCCUCCUCGGCUCCUCCCCGCUUCUUCAAGACGAAGACGGAGCCCGGGAUCGCUGGCGGCGAGAAGGAGGCGCUCGACGACGCGGCGGUGUUGAAGUGGGCGCGUGACGACUGGGCGCGGAUGGAGAUGGAGCGCUAGUGCCGUGCCUAUGAAGAGCUCACCGCACGGCAUCGGCGAGGCUGCGACGAGGAAGGCGUUAUCGUCCUCGACAACGACAGCGAUGAUGGCGCACCACCGGCGCUGGUCCACCAGGGCGACGCCGGCCAGGGGUCCAACAGGGGCGGCGUCCGCGUCAAGGAGGAAAGGCCGACUAAGGUGGAAUUGAAGAACCAACAGUACAUCAUUGAUAGCCAGAAUCAUCGAUAGCCAAAACUUUAUAGCAAAAUCCCGUCAUGCUUCCAGGAACAAAAAAUAAGAAAAAUUCAGGGAAGCAAGCAAGAACAUCGAGUAAAAAAAUGCAUCUGCUAACAAUAGAUCUCACCUUCUACUUGCACAAAGCUUUCGUUAAGUAAAAGAUCCCACUACCACAAUAGAUCUCAUCUACUACUGAAAAGUUCUUCUGCAAUACCCACACAAAAAAUUAUGGUCUAGAUUGUAACCUAUAGUCUACUAAUAGAUCGCUCAUGAUGCCACUAAACAAACAAAAGAAAUCCGCCCUUGAAGACAAGAACCAGGAUCACUAUAAAGAUGCAUACAAGAUUAGAUCCGGUCGUUACCAACUUCGAUAUGCAGUACAAGAAGAGCUGGUGUAGAUCGUUCUUCAAGUCCCUCAAAUGGUCCGUCAAACGAAGAUCGAAAGAACAAUCUCUCCAUGGAUUGCACGCGCAUGAGAUCGACGAUCCGACAGCUCUUUCACCGUUCAGAGUUAGGCGUUGCCGAAGAUCUAGAGGAAGGAGGAGCAGCCUUACGGUGUCUCACAAAUUUCUGGAGAAUUAGAGGGAAAGAGGGGGCGCACAAGACUGCAUGAGAACUUUUGUCACUAGGUGGAGAUGCCGUCUUGGAGGGUCCUCCCUCCCUUGUGACGGUGCACCAAGGGGUGGGCCCCACCCCUCAACCCUACCCAGACAAAGCUAGGACUUGCUGGCCAAGGCUAGUGGCGCCACCCUAUUGUUCCUUGGAUCAUCUCUAACAGAUCUCGCAACUGCGCGCCCCGCAAAACAUAUAUAAGGGCUCCCAUAAAAAAAUUGCGGUUCGGUGAGCGCUCUGGCAGAACAGAUACCGCAAUUUUUUUGCCGGAUGCGUUUCCAGGAUAUGUUCCGCCGGAGUGCUCCCCACACCCCAAAUUUUGUAUAACAUCAAACAAAUUACACAUUCUGUAAUGUCUACCGAAUGGAAUCUUGAUAUAAAUUCAACAUACGAAUAUAUAAAUGCUUAAGCAACUCAUAAUACAACAAUAGUCAUCAUUACAACAAAUGUCUGAAUUCAAAUAUUUAUUACAACACCAAAUUGUUUAAAUCUCACAUGAAUAGAAAUGCAUACAAAUGGCGAUCUACCUCCCCCCAUAGAGCUGCCACAGAUGCUCAAUAAGAACAUGCUGGAGUUGGUUGUGCAAAAUCAUGGUUCUCGAUAUUCUGCUAUGUCUCAAGAAAUGCAUUGGUCUCAUCUGCGUCCCUGGCAGGCUUCACACGGCUACCAACAUUGUCAUAGUUGUACUCCAAGUCCAAAUCCCUCUCAUCUUCGACGAUCAUGUUGUGUAAAAUUACACAAGCAGUCAUCAUGUUUCACAGGCGUUUUUUACCCCAGAAGCAAGCAGGACCUCAUACAAGGGCAAACCGAGCUUGCAACACACCAAAUGCCCACUCAAUAUCCUUUCGGCCAGCUUCUUGUGCUUCUGCAAAAAAAAUUGUGCUUCUUGAUUUUGGGGUCACUAAUGAUCUUCACAAAUGUUGACAAUGAAGGAUAGACACCGUAGGCAAUAUGGUACCCCAUGGUAUAGUCAUGGUCGGUAUAGUUGCAAGCCAGAGAUUUUCCACUAGCUAGCUGGGCAAAUAAAUGAGAUCGAUGCAAAACGUUAAGAUCAUUGAGAGACCCCAGCAAACCAAAGAAUCAAUGACAAUCCAUAGAUCAUAUGAACCAUGGCUUCAAUAACGAUGGCGGGCUUACGUUUGUCGCCGAUGUAUUGCCUUGCCCAAGCCACCGGGCAAUUCUUUCACCUCCAAUGCAUGCAAGCAAUACUACCUAGCAUGCCCGGCCAUCCUCUUGCCUUGUUCAUUGCCAUGAGCUUGUUUAUGUCGUCUUCGUUUGGAGCUCGAAGAUACUCUGGGACAAAAACCCGGAUUAUUGUAUUUGCACAGACACAGACACUUUUGAUGGUGGUAUAUUGCCAAUGCGAAGAUAUUUAUCCACGUGGUCGUCCAGAACACCAUAUGCAAUCACUCAUCGCCGCCAAAAUUUUCUCAUAUGCACUGAAACCAAUCAAACUGGCGGCAUUUCUACGUCGGGUGAAGAAAUGGCAAUUUUGCUCGCAAUCCCCAUCGAUGCGGAUGAAAAGUGACCUACGUGUUCGAUAUCGCCUACGAAAGAGGUGAGCAGGACAUGUCGGUACCUCGACGAAGUAGUCCUUAAUGAACAUUUUGUCACCGAGAGCUCGGUUGCGGAGAAUUCAUAGCCGACCGACCGUUGAUCCACGCCACUUUUUCUUUAGCCCCGCCUCAAAUUCGUGGACUAGAUGCAACAACACUAGGUUGUCACCAUCGUUGUCGAGGAUCAACUCUUCUAUGUCUGAAUCGUCGGACGAAGACAACUAGAAGAACUCCAAUCAAUCUAUAAAAUACACACAUGCUAGCAUGAGUUUCAACCGAACCUACUCCUGGCCAAAAUCGAGAAUGAACCGGCAGGAGUUUCACCCGAACAUACCUCGCCUGAAGCAAAGCCGCGUCGCUCCACCCUUUCUUCUCCCCGCUGGAUGACGCGAUCCCGUGCCGCCGCUUUCUUCCUCCCGACCCCCGAAGCCACGCCGACCCUUUCAAUUCUCCGCCGCCUGAAGCAGCACCGCGCUGCCCUCAUCCCUCGACAAGCACCGCUCACAGUAACCGAAACCAACCGGAUCCACAAGGAAUGAGCCCGCGCACGAGCUCCCACGCGGAUCCCUGGUGCUGGCGGUGGACACGAGCCGCGGACGCAAAUGGUCACCCCAUAUGGCCCAAAGUUGGUGGACUGGAUGCGGCGCGGAGUGGCAGAGCUUUCGGCAGGCACGAGGCAGCUGGAAGUAGUACCAAGGGGCGGGGAUGUGCGGGGGUGGCUGCGGGGAGUGGAAGCGGAAACGGAAGUCGUCGGAACUGGUUCGCGCAACGGAAAGGGGAGACUCCAAAAUCGGAUGGAUUCCCGCACAUAUGAAGGAAUUGGGCUCGCGGAUGCGGAAUCCCGCAAAAAGAAUUCUAGGGCGGCCCGGCCGGUUUGCGGGAUGUGCUAGAGAUGCUCUUACCUGGCUGCCCCCUAAUAACCACUUCACAUCAGAUGUUGCCUGAUCCGGUGGACGCCAAGACUGCCCUGUACUUUGCAAAGAACUGAAGGACUCCUCUACAAUAAUUUGUUCAAAGCGACAAAUAAAUUGACUUUGUAAACAUGCCAGAACCCAGCGCUCAUCCUUUAGCAAAAUGACCACUCCCUUAAACUUAAAUUCCCGUUAACUAAAAAUUGCCACUACACUAAUAUGUUCAUGAUCAACACUAUGUACCGCAAUUUGGCAUGCCUAGAUUACUACAUACAAUAUCAUGCUCUAGCACAUGAUGCUCAUACAAAGUUCCACUGCUCCUGGCUUUUGUACACAUGAUCUCUCUAGCGCCCAGUAAUUUGUCAGGGCAAAAAAAAAACCCAGCCAACUCCCUGACUUGCUGAUGAGCUAGAAACUGAGUCUCAAUUAAUUCCAAUGAAUCAAGGUUGUCAGCAGAGAUAGUCAUAGGCGAACGAGAAUUUGUAACACAUGAAUAGUAGUCAUCAGUGAGCUCACCAUUAAGUAGUUCUGACCACACAUGUAGUGCUUGGCAUUUGCAUCAAACUGAUAGCCAUGGAAGCUUCAGCUAGACAUCCAUUAAUCACAAGGUCUGCUGACUCGGGACGGAAGUAGCUUUGGGCACCACAAGGAUCCAGCACAACCUUCUUUCUUAGAUGGGCAUGGUUUCAGUUGCACAGUUGGCAGCAGAUACCUCCAUGAAUCUCUUAGAGAAUUCAGAUAAUCAGGAAAAUGUGCCAUCACAUAAGCAAUUUGUCAUACUAGCCCCACGUGUUUCAGAUGCACACCACGAUAAGAGCAAUCAAAUGAUGGCCAUGUCAGUGGUCGUAGAUCUUGUCCAAGCAUGGAGAGUAGUAAGAGCUACUCUUCGGACAACCUCUUGUGAUGCAACCAUGUAGAGCGUGCUUGCAGCAGCGCUCCUAGCCGCAGCACUCAUGGAGGGAAGCACCACUGAGUUGGCACAUGGCACAGACUUCUGAGCCUUCCAUUGAAUAAUUGGUGUGUGCUAGCACACUGAGUGUGAGGCCGAUAGCUGGCUCACGCAACGGGAUUAGCGAGUCCUAUAGAGGCACAGUGAAGGAUGGAGGCAUACUCCAAAAGCCUAACACACCGCCAUGGGAUCGCCUCCGUCAGCGUUGUGAUUGAGGCUAUCCGUCGAACAACUUGUGGGUGGCGGUGCAGCGACACUCGUGGCAUCAAUGUCGAAUGUUUUGGCACUAGCAGUCGAGGCAGUGAGCUCCGGGACGAUGUCUGCAGUUCCCUUCGCUGGUGUGAGGUCAUCGGUGAUGUUGUCAUGGCGUGGGUGGCCUCUAGAUCCUUCAUGCCGGAGCUGGGGUCGGAGGGCUCGCCGAGUUCAUUGUUUGGCCUUGGAUUAGUAUCUCAAUUGCCUUGAGGUCACAGUGCAUCUCUUCGUGUGACUUGGCAAGGCUCUCACUCGGUGGCGGGGCUACAAAAAAGUUGUUGGGAAGGCCGAGCUAAAGAAAGACACAAAAAAGAAUCAUCGGCAUUAAUCAGUACCUUGUGUUCCAUUUUUUGCAAGAUUAAAUGAUCAGAUAUAUGUACAAAAAGGCUAUACCAAAAUACAGUUUCAUUACUAUUUUUGCUGGCCAUUAUAGGAGCUUGGAGACAUCAGAUAUUGAAUGACAGACUUUUUACUGCGUGCAACGAAAUACAAUAUUAACUUGUAACAAUAAAUUACUAUCGCUCCCUCGUUUGCGGUGGGCUAGUAUAAUGUUUCUUUUUUUGCACCAGAGCUGGGCGGGCCACGGCCAUUUUGGCCUUGCCGUGGCUCCGCCAGUGUGUCUCACUUAUCUUGUCGAGGUAGUCAUUGAGCACCGGAUCUAUGGUGACCAACAACAGCCCACAGCCUGUGUCCAGCCACUCAAUGCAGCUCCGGUCCUGCUCGAGCAGGUUGCUGCUCGUGCCGCCGAUGGUAGAGAGGUUGUGCAGCAGUCAGCUGGCAAAGACCCCGUCCCGGAUCGCCUCCAGGGUGUCAAACGUUUCGAACGCACUGAUUACAAUUCCUAGGAGUUGUUUGUAGUUGUGGUGGCCAUGUCCAGGAUCUUGUUCACCAUUUCUUGGUUGGGCGAUUUGCUUGGGUUGAACAACUCCGACACUCAUAUUGACGCCAGCUCUUCCAUUGGCUUUUCCAGUUGAUGCAUGCUCUGAAUAUGUAUGGAAGAGUAGUCCAUUGAGAGAUCUCAUCAAUUAAUUUUGAUUAUGGUCAGAAACACACAUGCAAAAAUUGUACUACUGAGUACUGGCAUAACUAACCUUGAGCUGGCAAGUAUCCUUUGUGGUGCAGCAUGGCGUAGGGCCUGAAGUAGUGGAUGGCCAGUUGGCCACCACGCUGCCCAUGUGCAGCACGAUGGCCGGUAAGCCUAGCUCCCUUGGGUCAUCAGUCCAGACGUCACUACGGAGCAGCUGAGUGUUUCAGCUUUAGAGUAGAACUAUUUACUCCGCAAAAAAAAAUUAGAGUAGAACUAUUUAUCCCAAGGUGAGUGUACUUACUAGAAAAAUAGUGUAUGGUAUGUUGCUCACCAUAUAGAAUCUGUGGUGGAAACUGCUAACCUUGAUCAUUAACCAGUUGACUAUAUCUUCAGUUUAUGAAGCUUGGAGGGUAAUUUUGUUUAGGAAUGACGAAAAUUUUGUGGGUGUGAGUUGAAAAUAUUUUGCAUGUGUUAGUUCAAAAUAUUUUGUCGGUGUUAGGACAAUAUUUGUUCAGAGUAACCAUAUUCCAUUUUACGGACUUUAUGGAUGACUACACAGCUACAUGAAUUCAUUUUCUCAAAUUUCAGGGUUCUGUGCAUGCACAUUGACAGUUUGGUAGACCGUAAAAAAACUUUGCCUUCAUUGAUAUGUUAUUAUUAAUCCAUUAAAGUAGCACACAUCUUAGUUAGCAUUAGCGCUUACGUACAUGCAUAGUGCCACCUUCGAACUGAUUCCAAAAGAAGCACCAGCAUCAUUCCCAAUUCCCAUGAGUUGUAAACUGCAGAUGCAAUCACAUGAUUCAGUAACCACAUUUGGUCGUCUCCACUACACAGUGAUAGUGACAAGUAAAUAUUCCAAGUAGCAGAUAAAUUGAUUGUCAUGUAUAUCAAAUUGAAAAAAAAAUAGUUAUAGAAUUAGGUGUACUAUACAUAUAGCAAAAGUAUAAUAUGCAACUUUCCAUAAUAGCUCCAAUGCUUACAUUAUGCAAUAGAAACCAAGUGUUCAGAAGCAACCCCUAUGAAACAUUGGAGGCUUACUGCCACCAGAUAACAAAACUGGAAGUAGAAGAAUAAAACAUUGGAGGCUUACUGCCACCAAGUUUUGACAUUGAAGUUUUAGCAGACUAUUGGUUGUAUACAGAAUGGCCGCAGCAUUGUUUCCACUAACCACAAGCAUAAUACUAGAAGCAUCUUGUUCCCUUAUUAAUAUUCUACCAAAAAUAACUGGCAGAAAAAGAUUAUUUUUCCCCAAAUGUAAAAAAGAAAGACUUGAAUAAUACCUGAGAAAAAAAGAGAGCAACAGUCAGUAUAUUUAUGUGUCAAACUAUACAAAUUAAUCCAGACUUUGACCAUGUGGCGAUCCAGAUAAUUUUCCAAACCCUGAACAAACAGCAAAGCAGCUCAGCUUAAUGACUCAAACAUUCGACUAAUGGAAAUAUUAUAAUUUAGAGAUUACCGACAGUAGGAAUAAAUACUAAAUAGUCUAAAUAAUAGCAAUACAAUCAUAGCUGACCAACUUUAAAUAAUUAUGGCUGGGAAAUGUUCAUCUGAAUUCUAAAUGUCUGGUGCUCUGAAAACAGUACAGACCUUUAGAGACCCCAUAAUUACUUCCCGUUCCUAAACCAUCUUUUUUCUAAAUCAAAAAACGUUGUGUAAAAGAGCCAAAAGCCGCUGAGAUGACACUAAGAUUAACAUAUGAGUUUUGCUUCGGUACACCCCUCUAGAAAAGUUUGCACGAAUCUUAAAAUUACAUUAAAUGAGUAUUCUCGUACAUGCACAAUCAACUAAUAAGUAGAUCACCAGUAAUAAGUAGCAAGACACCUAGAGGCCCAAGAUGCCCAAAGUAGCCACACGGCAAAGAACAGAAAUCCCGUUGCCUGAAAAGGCAGACAGCGCGAUGGCUGAUGGUGACGUGCUCAUGGGUGUAGUUGAAUUGGUUAAACGGGUGGAACUUCUCCUUUACUUUGUGGGUGUUAGGACAAAAUAAAUUGUGGGUGUUAAGGACAAUAUUUGUUCAGAGUGUCCAUAUUUCAUUUUACAGGUUUUAUGAAUGACCACACAGCUACGUGAAUUCAUUUUCUCAGUUUUCAAAGGUUCCGUGCGUGCAUAGUGACAGUUUUGUAGACUCCAUUAAAGCAGCACACACCUAAUUCUGUACUACACAUAUAGCAAAGAUAUCAUCUGUAAAUUUCCAUAAUAGCUUCAAUGCUUGCAUUAUGCAAUAGAAACCAAGUGUUCAAAAUCAAUCCUUAUGAAACAUUGGUCCAGGAGACCACAUCAUUGUCCAGGAGAUACAUACACCAAACCGGAAGUAAAAGAAUAAGCAUAAUAUUUUGACAUUAAUGUUGUAGCAGACUAUUGGUUGUAAACUGAAUGGUCACAACAUUCUUUGCACUAACCAUAAGGAUAAUACUAGAAGCAUCUUGUUUAGUUAAAAUAUUUUACCAAAAGUAAAUGGCAGAAAAAAAAUAUUUCCCCAAAUGUAGAAGGGAAGACUAAUGUGAAUCGUGAUACCUGAUAAAAAAAGGAAAGCCAACCGCCAGUGUAUUUACCUAUCAAACUAUACAAGUCAAUCCAGACUUUGACCAGGUGGUGAUCCAGAAAAUUUUCCAAACCCUGAUAAAACAGCAAAGCGGCUCAGCUUAAUGACCCAAACAUAGGACUAAUAGAAAUACUAUAAUGUAGAGAUUACAGACGAUUGGAAUAAAUAGUCUAAAUGAUAGCUGACCAACUCUAAAAAUCUACGGCUGCGAGAUGUUCAUCUGAAUUCUGAAUGUCUGGUGCUCUGAAAACAGUACAGAGCUUUAGAGACCCCAUUAUUACUUGCCGUUUCUAAACCAAUUUUUUCCACAAACAAUUGUAUACAAGUGACCUUGUAAAAGUGCAAAGCCACCGACAUGACACUAAGGAGGUGUUUGGUUUCAGAAUUGUUAGGUAAAUGUAUACACGAUCGGUUUACACCGUUAAUGUAAACGGUAUGGGAAAAAAUCAAUUCUUGUUUGGCUCACUGUUGUAAUGCUAAUGAAUACCGGCGAGAAAACAGGAACCCCACGUCCAGGCAACUAGCUAACUCCAUGCCCUGCUUUGUUUAAGCUGGGGAGUGGGCGGGGUUUGGGGAUCGGGGCUGGAAGCCUGAAAGAGUUCGUUCGAGUCGGCUUCGCUGUAACGUAACCUGUUUACAGAUGGGGGUGGGCGGAAUCAGGUUAAAACUGCACUUGGAUUUGUUUACAUGCAAAGCGAAGCAAACAAGAUUAACAGUAUGGGGUUGCGACAUAAUCGGAUACCGGGUGGAAAACUGUGAACCAAACACCUCCUAAGGUUAACAUAUUGCUAUCACCUUUCCUAAAUUUAAGCUUUUACUCAAACAGAAUUGCAUACUCAUGUAGAAUAUGAGCUGGUGCUACUUACGAAAACUGUUCAUUAGCUCCUCUACUUUUUGAGGACAUACAUUCAGGUCAGUGGACUAAAGCACGUCAUGGUAGUAGAGUGGAAACUGAAGUUCUAGCUCCAAACACGGAAGAUAACAAUUACUCCCUCUCUCUCAGUUUACAGGGCGUGUGCGUGCCCCUAGGUCGUUAAUUUGACCAACCUAAUACAAGUCAUAUAUUACGAAAAAAAUAUACCAAUAUAAACUUGAGAUGUUCUAUUUUCAAACGGUAUAAUUUUUGUGUUCUAUAGUUUAUGUUAGGGUGAUAAAAUUGACAACCUAGGUAUACGUGCAGGACUUGUAAACUCAAACGGAGGGAGUAGGAAAUUUCAACUAGGAGAAUAAAAAUAAAUGCUUGCAAUUACAUGAUUACAACAUUUUGUUUAAGUGCCAAGGUGCUUGACACUAACAAACUAGUAACAUUCAGAGAAGUGACAACAUACAGGAAGGUGGUGGCUGCGUCGCCGAUACACUACUAGAGAAAACCCUAGUAGUAGCGUGGGUUUUGAGGCUAGCAGCAGCACGGGUGGCCGCGCUACUAAUAAGCCGCUGCAGCUAACUUAUAGUAGUAGCGCGGUCCUUACCUGCGCUACUACUGUUGACGAUAUCAGUAGCGCUUUUUAUGAUCGCGCUACUAUUACUUAGCUGUAGCGAUUUCGUAGUCCCUCACUACUGCUAUAUCUUUCAUCAUUUUUCCCGUACCCCUUUUCCUUUCAGUUUCCCUUUCAGAUACUAGAUAGUAGGUACUGCUAGUAGAUAUCAAAUUCAUAAACCAUUACUGGGUAGUACUCCCUUCGUUCCAAAUUACUGGUCGUGGUUUUAGUUCAAACCACGACAAGUAAUUUGGAACGAAGGGAGUACUGGAUAACAAUUUAAUGCAUAAUCAACAUGCAUCCUCAAGCAGUACAAGGUCGUAUCAACGGUGAUCAUCAUAUGUAGUUCUAGAUGAUAUCGACAACGAUCAUCAUAUGUAGUUCUAGAUGAUAUAGCCACACACACAUAUGUAGUUCUAGAUGAUAUCAAAGACAAUCAUCAUCCUCAAGCCUGGGCGGUUGGUGUUCCUGAUAGUAAUUAGGAUGGCCUGUCCAACACGAAGAUUCUUGCCAUCGAGGAAUUUCUUCCACCCAACCGAGUUUAAGUGUGUGCGAGCGUCCAUGUCCAUGCGGUAAGUACAAGUUGUGACGGAGCCCCUUGCAGUAAGGCGUAGUCCAGCUGAGCCUUCUUCAUCAGGCUCGAUACCAUAACUCGCAGAUAUGCUCUUUGCCAAUUUCUGAAUAAGAAAAACAUUUCAAUUAAUAAAUAGCCUCGCAAAUAAGUACAUAUGGAUUAUCUACACUAUUAAUAGUUUCCUUAGAUUCUACACUAAUAAGCAUGUGAUCGAACUCUACACUAAAACAUAUCAUCGACUAGAUUCCACACAACAUACCAUAUCAUUGGACUGUACACUAAGUAUUUCAUCGGAUAAUUUGCAUUUGUAAGUAUAACAUACCAUAUCAUGUCGAUCAAUCAUGGUAUUUGUCAGGCGGGUCACGAAUGGCACCCCAACAAAGUCAGCACGUGGCGGAAUUAUGUCCCACAGGUUGGACACCUCCUCCUCACUCAGCCUUGUUCUUUGGGCUACGAUGGCUUCAUGAAGUGGGUCAUCAUCAUCUUCAUCGACUGGGUCCUCAUUAUCUUCCUCAUCUUCAUCAUCUUCGUCAUCUUCAUCAUCUUCCACCAGGUUGAGAUAAAUGACAGCCAGCUUGGGUCUUUCUGCUCUGAAGGAGAAGCUGAUCAACUCACCACCAGUAAGACGCAUGCGAGCGAUGAAACGGGCCCAUCCAUCUCCUCCAAUCUGCGACAUAUUGCAUCCUUUCUCGACCUCCAUAGUGUACGCCCCCCAGGAGCCUCAAAUGUCACAGUGUCUCCUGUCAGCUUGUUGAAUUUCAACCUCACAUUGCAUGGGACGAUCUGUGUAAAAUAAGCAAAAUGACACAAUGCAGUAAUGCCAACACUAAAAAUAAAAUAGUUAUUACAUUUCAUCUAAUUUCUUACCGCUGCAUGACGAAAACCCGGCUGGAAGUAGAUGCCGAACAGCUUGCCAGUUGCAAGGCUGCUGGCGCACCUUGACUUGCACAGUCGACAUAGUGGUGGUGGUGGUGGCGCCAUUUUUCCUAAAGCAAUAUGAGCAACGGAUUAACGAUCCACUUCACAGGAAAGAAAAAAAGUAGCAUGAGAUAUUUUUGGUUCUUCCGCGAGAAGCAAUUUGAUGGACAAUUAUAAUCCUAAGAUCUAGUAACAUAUUAGAUGACAAGGUACGACCUACAUUUUGCCAAAAAGUAAGUAAAUCAACUAAAUGAAAAUGUUCUAAAUCAACUAAAUGAAAAUGGUGCAUACUAAAUCAACUAAAUGAACUAGCCUACUAAAUCAACUAAAUUAAAAUGUUCUAAAUCAACUAAAUGAACUAGCCUAUUAAAUCAACUAAAUCAAAAUGUUCUAAAUCAACUAAAUCAACUAGCCUACUAAAUCAACUAAAUCAAAAUGUUCAAAAUCAACUAGCCUACUAAAUCAACUAAAUCAAAAUGUAGGGAGGACGGAGGAGGAGGCCGGUGCCGAGUCCAGCAAGGAGGAGGAGGGGCCGGCCGGCGGCCAGUGGAGGGAGGACGGAGGAGGAAGGUGGAGCGAGGAGGGGCCGGCCAGCGGCGAGUGGAGAGGGAGAACGGAGGAGGAGGCCGGUACCGAGUCCAGCAAGGAGGAGGAGGAGGUGACGGCGGCGCACAGGAAGGAGGGGGACGGGGGAGGACCGGCGCGGGGGAUAGAGAGGGAUCCAGUGAGUGUGUGACUGUGAGUGGAUCGGAUAGAGGAGAUGGGGUGGGAAAUGAGAUGGCUUAGCAGUAGCGCGCUAUAGAGAAAGACGCUACUGCUAAACUACCUAGCAGCAACGCCUUUCACAAAGAAGCGCUACUGCUAUGUGUCAGCAUGUAAAAAUAGACUUAUAGUUCAUUGUAUCAAAAAUACAUUGAUCAUCAACGAUCUUUUUGUGUACAAUCUGAUUUGUCAAUAUGAAUCCUCACUGGUAUAGGAACAAGUGAAGACUCAUAUUGCAGCCACAAAUUCUACACAUAGAGUUCAAUGAAGACCAAGUGCUUGUCAAAGUUUGAGAAGUAACAUAUUUAUGGUGGUAGAAACUCUUUUCACGGAGCGAGGUGGGACUAAAUUUUUAUAGUAAACUUAGCAGUAGCACUUAUUGGCGAAAUGCGCUUCUACUAUGCUACGUAGUAGUAGCACCCUUCGAUAUAACGCAUUGCUGCUAUAGCUAGCCUCGCGGCGGCCUCGUGGGAAUUAUAGCAGUAGCGCGUCUUUCAGCUGGCGCGCUACUGCUAUAUUUAUUUCAGCAGCGAGUUAUUCUUGAGCUCGCUACAGCUAAUUAGCAGCAAUGCCUUAUUUUAAAGCGCGCUGCUGAUAAGAUUCUGUGUAUAGGCUUUUCCCUAGUUGUGAUACUUUAUUGCAGAGAGGAUCUCAACAUCGAGCCCGAGCCACACCCAGCCAUCUCCAUCACAUUUUCCCUCCUUUGCUCUCCACACAAUGCAUGCCAGCAGCACACAACAUUUCCCACGAGGGCCUGGAGAGGAUCGGAAUGUUGAAGUUGUAUGCUGCAUUCCAUGGUUUAAAAAGUAACCGGGCACUCCAAAAGGGUUAUGCAGUAGAUUAUCCACAUACUAAAUUUUGAUUAGCUGAGCAAUUCUAUGCAAUGGUACAUAAUACAUCUGCGGUAAGGAAUGAUCAGUAGUCCUGCGAUGGCACAUAAUACAUGCAGUAACAAGUGACAAGAGUGAGCUUUCAACUUGCUUCUAGAACAGCAUUGCCCACAUAAUUCCUGGUGCUGUUCUUUCAAUAUGGAUUAAUGAAGACAAAUUACCGAUGGCUGAAUCAUUUAAUUAAACAGUAUGGAUCCAAGCUCUUCUAAAAAUUAGGUGCAACUUGCAAGCCAACAGAGAGGACAAUUUGCUACAUCAUUGCUAGGCAGAACAAAAAAGAAACAGGAAACAUAUGUAGAUUGUCAAAUAUUUAUUAUUAAUAAGGCCACCAUAUAAUCUCUCAGACUAAAAGAAGAUCUAGAUAAAAAGAGGGAAAGCCAAUUCUUGAGUUCAUGAAAUAGAAAAACCAGGAAGGUACAUUACCACUAAUAAGUAACAAGAAGACACCUAGAGGCCCAGGAUAAAAUAGCAAGGUCAAUUCUCCAGUUCAAGAAAAUAGAUACAUGGGGCAGGUUAGCUAGCACAUAUUACAAACACAUACGAGAACUAGGGAAUGUCAAUUAUUGAUUUCAAGAACUAGAGACACCAGGAAGGUAGAUUACCAAUAAUAAGUAGCAAGACGAUACCUAGAGGCCCAGGAUUAAAAACCGAAGUCAAUUCUCUGUUUCGAGAAAAUAGAUAAAUGGGGCAGAUUAGUUAGCACAUAGUACAAAGUACAAACACACACCAAAAUGACUUGGUAAUUUUGGCAUUGACGCAUACAAUAAUCCCUUCUUUCCAAAAUGGUAUCGGCACAAACAUAGAUUUCAUGUAACUAUGUAACAACCAAAGAUUCUCGAUUUGAAUUUUACAUGCAUCAACAAAGAAGCUUACCGAAAAAGACAUCUUGCCCUGUUUUACAAAUGAAGCCACAACCACGAUACAACCACACCGCAAACGGAGGUCCACAAGUAACAUAAAGGUUCGAAAGUACAACGAAAUAAGUACUUGCUAGGGGCAACAGCAAAACAAGCCAACAAAACCCUUCAAUUCAUACAUACUGCAGCUAAUAGUGGAUCCAAUUCAUACAUACUGCAGCUCAUGAGGAUACAAACAUCCAGGACAUUAAAAUGCAGCAGCGGACUCAUCAAACUUCAGGUGAAAGGCCAACCGUUCACAACAUAACCAUGUUGCGAUGGAAAGAAGUCAUGCGGAACAAGACUUUGCUUGAGCUGCAGUUGAGUAGGUUGGACACCUGUGUGAUUGAAAGUGGCGACCAACUUGCCAUCCAUGUCAACCUGAACUAGCCAGUCGGGAAAUUUGACCAGGACAAGCAACUCACCAUCCCCAGGCACGACCACCGUUUCCCAAGAGUCAUCGUCGUCGCGUUUUCCACAUGACGCCCUAAUCUCUGCAAGCGGCAAUUCAAUGUGGCACUUGAAGGUCCAAACCUCGCUUGCAUAGUCCUACAACACCCAAAUAUCAAUGCUUGUCGCUUUGUCGUUAAAGCUAGACAUGCCGAGCAUGCUAUCCAUCUCAAACAGCCCAUCACAGGUGGUACCACGAACAACGGGGACGCGCAUCUGUCGGAACGUCUUGGCUGUGGUGUCAAACACAAUUAUCAUGUUGCUUUCGCC